GGGUGCGAUCAUACCAGCACUAAUGCACCGGAUCCCAUCAGAACUCCGCAGUUAAGCGUGCUUGGGCAAGUGUAGUACUAGGAUGGGUGACCUCCUGGGAUGUCCUCGUGUUGCACCAC
rfam:Gossypium hirsutum cultivar TM-1 scaffold6740.1_1, whole genome shotgun sequence